rnacentral:rRNA from 1 species
GAUGAACGCUGGCGGCGUGCCUAAUACAUGCAAGUCGAGCGAACGGACGAGAAGCUUGCUUUUCUGAUGUUAGCGGCGGACGGGUGAGUAACACGUGGAUAACCUACCUAUAAGACUGGGAUAACUUCGGGAAACCGGAGCUAAUACCGGAUAAUAUUUUGAACCGCAUGGUUCAAAAGUGAAAGACGGUCUUGCUGUCACUUAUAGAUGGAUCCGCGCUGCAUUAGCUAGUUGGUAAGGUAACGGCUUACCAAGGCAACGAUGCAUAGCCGACCUGAGAGGGUGAUCGGCCACACUGGAACUGAGACACGGUCCAGACUCCUACGGGAGGCAGCAGUAGGGAAUCUUCCGCAAUGGGCGAAAGCCUGACGGGACAACGCCGCGUGAGUGAUGAAGGUCUUCGGAUCGUAAAACUCUGUUAUUAGGGAAGAACAUAUGUGUAAGUAGCUGUGCACAUCUUGACGGUACCUAAUCAGAAAGCCACGGCUAACUACGUG